GCCCUAGUAGCUUAACCUUAAAGCACUGGUCUUGUAAGCCAGAGAUGAGGACAUACCUCCUAAGACA
rnacentral:tRNA from 1 species